AGCCUCAUUGCGGGGGUGCUUACCAUGCAAGUCGAACGGUGAAGCCAAGCUUGCUUGGUGGAUCAGUGGCGAACGGGUGAGUAACACGUGAGCAACCUGCCCUGGACUCUGGGAUAAGCGCUGGAAACGGCGUCUAAUACUGGAUAUGAGACGUGAUCGCAUGGUCGUGUUUGGAAAGAUUUUUCGGUCUGGGAUGGGCUCGCGGCCUAUCAGCUUGUUGGUGAGGUAAUGGCUCACCAAGGCGUCGACGGGUAGCCGGCCUGAGAGGGUGACCGGCCACACUGGGACUGAGACACGGCCCAGACUCCUACGGGAGGCAGCAGUGGGGAAUAUUGCACAAUGGGCGGAAGCCUGAUGCAGCAACGCCGCGUGAGGGAUGACGGCCUUCGGGUUGUAAACCUCUUUUAGCAGGGAAGAAGCGAAAGUGACGGUACCUGCAGAAAAAGCGCCGGCUAACUACGUGCCAGCAGCCGCGGUAAUACGUAGGGCGCAAGCGUUAUCCGGAAUUAUUGGGCGUAAAGAGCUCGUAGGCGGUUUGUCGCGUCUGCUGUGAAAUCCCGAGGCUCAACCUCCGGCCUGCAGUGGGUACGGGCAGACUAUAGUGCGGUAGGGGAGAUUGGAAUUCCUGGUGUAGCGGUGGAAUGCGCUCAUAUCAUGAGGAACACCGAUGGUUAAGGCAUAUCUCUGGGCCGUAACUGACUCUGAGGAGCGAAAGGGUG
rnacentral:rRNA from 1 species